UUGUCCUCAUUUCUGCUCUCAAGGUUAGUGUUGAUUAUCUCUUUAUUUGUUUCAAUUUAAAUGAAAGUUCAUUAUUAGAAUUGUGAGAUGUAAUUCUUUGUCAUAUUAUGUAUCCAUCGAAAUUUUGCCUUUGGAUGUUGAUUUUUAUAGUCAGCGCCAAUAAGAAUAAUGCUGCUUUUGUUUUGUCCCCAAUUUUUUAAUUUUUGGUGGUAACUGUCCCAAGUCCCAUUUGUGUGGAUGUGUAUUAUACCUAUUAUUUUUCAUCUCGAGCACUUCCAUCUUUCACAUUGGGAACUUGACCAUUAAAUUGAACCCUAUGACAGUCCAGCAUGGAAAUUUUGCGCUGAAGUCCUGUCAGCAACUUAAAAUUUAGAGUCAUGUAUAAUUAGAUUAGAGCCAUGGAAGUAGCCUCUCUACAAAGCAGGGGGCAAGGCUGUGUACAUUAGCCCUCCUCAGAGCACACAAGUCUGGGAUGCUUUGUGCAUUGGGUCACCCUUUUUUUAUUGUUUGCCUAAGGUUGUUAUAAAAUUGGUAAAGUAUGUUAAUUCUACAGUAUUUAGUGUGGUUUGGCUUCUCACUUUAUUUUUUUCAUUCAUCAUAGAAUUUAUGAUUGUCAGGACUUCUUUUUUUUUUUUUUUUU
rnacentral:misc_RNA from 1 species